rnacentral:rRNA from 1 species
UACGUAGGGGGCAAGCGUUGUCCGGAAUCAUUGGGCGUAAAGAGCGUGUAGGUGGCUCGGUAAGUCCGCUGUGAAAGUCCAGGGCUCAACCCUGGAAAGCCGGUGGAAACUGUCGAGCUCGAGUCCGGAAGAGGCGAGUGGAAUUCCUGGUGUAGCGGUGAAAUGCGCAGAUAUCAGGAGGAACACCAAUGGCGAAGGCAGCUCGCUGGGACGGUACUGACACUGAGACGCGAAAGCGUGGGAGCAAACAGG